CUCUGGCCGACCUACACUCGUCGCGUGUCUCACUCACUAUGACAGGCUACUGAAAAUGGCUGAUAGCUGAUAAAAUCAUUAUUGCACCGUACCUAGAGCCAUGCUCUAGCGAGAAUUCCAAAAAAAUCUUUUUGGAUCGCCUUGAUUUGAAAAGACUCCAGCACCAGCGCACCAAACGCCAAAAUAUCUGAAAACCACUGAGCGCGGAAACUAAGGGAGGCAACUUCGACUGUGAGAAUUUUUCUGUACUUCCUUCAUUCGGAACUCGAACUCGGAAG
rnacentral:lncRNA from 1 species